rnacentral:rRNA from 1 species
AUUGAACGCUGGCGGCAGGCCUAACACAUGCAAGUCGAGCGAGCGGCGGGCGGGUGAGUAAUGUCUGGGAAACUGCUUGAUGGAGCGGGGUAAAUACUGGAAAGGAUAGCCAGCUCCUCACACCAUCAGAUGUGUAUAGGUGGGAUUAGCUAGUGGGUGGGGUAACGGCUCACCCAGGCGACGAUCCCUAGCUGGUCUGAGAGGAUGACCAGCCAAACUGGAACUGAGACACGGUCCAGACUCCUACGGGAGGCAGCAGUGGGGAAUAUUGGACAAUGGGGGAAACCCUGAUGCAGCCAUGCCGCGUGUGUGAAGAAGGCCUUCGGGUUGUAAAGCACUUUCAGCGGGGAGGCGUUACCCGCAGAAGAAGCACCGGCUAACUCCGUGCCAGCAGCCGCGGUAAUAC